UACGUAGGGUGCAAGCGUUAAUCGGAAUUACUGGGCGUAAAGCGUGCGCAGGCGGUGAUGUAAGACAGAUGUGAAAUCCCCGGGCUCAACCUGGGAACUGCAUUUGUGACUGCAUCGCUGGAGUGCGGCAGAGGGGGGAUGGAAUUCCGCGUGUAGCAGUGAAAUGCGUAGAUAUGCGGAGGAACACCGAUGGCGAAGGCAAUCCCCUGGGCCUGCACUGACGCUCAUGCACGAAAAGCGUGGGGGAGCAAACAGG
rnacentral:rRNA from 1 species